UACGAAGGGGCGAGCGUUGUUCGGAUUUACUGGGCGUAAAGGGCGCGUAGGCGGCUCGACAAGUCAGGCGUGAAAGCCCCGGGCUCAACCUGGGAAUGGCGCUUGGGACUGGCGGGCUGGAGUUCGGGAGAGGAGCGUGGAAUUCCCAGUGUAGAGGUGAAAUUCGUAGAUAUUGGGAAGAACACCGGUGGCGAAGGCGGCGCUCUGGACCGAGACUGACGCUGAAGCGCGAAAGCGUGGGGAGCAAACAGGG
rnacentral:rRNA from 1 species